GCUGGGCGCGGUGGCUCGUGCCUGUAGUCCCAGCUACUCAGGAGGCUGAGGUGGGAGGAUCACUUGAGCCCAGGAGUUCUGUGCUGUAGUGCACUAUGCCGAUCGGGUGUCCGCACUAAGCUUGGCAUUAUGGUGACCUCCCGGGAGCUGGGGACUGCUUGCCUAAGGAGGGGUGAUCCAGCCCAGGUCGGAAACGGAACAGGUCAAAACUCCUGUGUGGAUCUGUAGUGGAAUCAUGCCUGUGAAUAGCCACUGCACUCCAGCCUGGGCAACAUAUCAAGGCCCCAUCUCA
rnacentral:SRP_RNA from 1 species